rnacentral:tRNA from 1 species
GCCGCUCUAGCCCAACUGGGAGAGGCACCGUGUUCAGAUCGCGGACAGUCAGGGUUCGAAUCCCUGGGGCGGCA